GAUGAACGCUAGCGGCAGGCUUAACACAUGCAAGUCGAGGGGUAGAGGAAGCUUGCUUCCUUGAGACCGGCGCACGGGUGCGUAACGCGUAUGCAAUCUACCUUGUACAGGGGAUAGCCCAGAGAAAUUUGGAUUAAUACCCCAUAGUGUAAUGAAUAGGCAUCUAUUUAUUACUAAAGUUCCAACGGUACAAGAUGAGCAUGCGUCCCAUUAGCUAGUUGGUGUGGUAACGGCAUACCAGGGCAACGAUGGGUAGGGGUCCUGAGAGGGAGAUCCCCCACACUGGUACUGAGACACGGACCAGACUCCUACGGGAGGCAGCAGUGAGGAAUAUUGGUCAAUGGGCGCAAGCCUGAACCAGCCAUGCCGCGUGCAGGAUGAAGCAUCUAUGGGUGUGUAAACUGCUUUUGUACGGGAAGAAACAACUCUUCGUGAAGAGUCUUGACGGUACCGUAAGAAUAAGGAUCGGCUAACUCCGUGCCAGCAGCCGCGGUAAU
rnacentral:rRNA from 1 species